rnacentral:rRNA from 1 species
UACGUAGGGGGCAAGCGUUGUCCGGAAUCAUUGGGCGUAAAGAGCGUGUAGGCGGCUCGGUAAGUCCGCUGUGAAAGUCCAGGGCUCAACCCUGGAAUGCCGGUGGAAACUGUCGAGCUAGAGUCCGGAAGAGGCGAGUGGAAUUCCAGGUGUAGCGGUGAAAUGCGUAGAUAUCUGGAGGAACACCGGUGGCGAAGGCGGCGUCCUGGACCAACACUGACACUGAUGAGCGAAAGCCAGGGGAGCAAACGGG